rnacentral:lncRNA from 1 species
CUAUUUUUCAAAAUACAUUUUUUGCCAAAAAAAAAAAAAAACAUCAAACAAGCUUGUAAUAUUUUAUUGGGCCGACGAUUGGCCCUCAACGGUCGCCCGUGCUGACUCAAAAUCUUGGAUCCGCUACUGCAUUAAUAUAUAGGAUCAUACAAUGAAGAAACACAAAAUUCUGUGUUGAACUUUUGGUUUUGUUUCAUUAAGGAGGGGUUAUGUAUGGAGAUGGAAACCCUAUGGAAGAAUAAUUGAAAUUUGGAAAGUUUCAUGGAAAUUUUUAGUUGAUAUUUUGUGGUUCAAUUAUGGUUGCAUGGUUAAAUGAAUCUGGACUAAUUUAAAGUUAG